rfam:Oryza sativa Indica Group cultivar 93-11 Ctg036851, whole genome shotgun sequence.
GGAUGCGAUCAUACCAGCACUAAAGCACCGGAUCCCAUCAGAACUCCGAAGUUAAGCGUGCUUGGGCGAGAGUAGUACUAGGAUGGGUGACCUCCUGGGAAGUCCUCGUGUUGCAUCCG